AAGCCUACGGGACGCAGCAGUGGGGAAUAUUGGGCAAUGGGCGCAAGCCUGACCCAGCAACGCCGCGUGAAGGAAGAAGGCUUUCGGGUUGUAAACUUCUUUUCUGAGGGACGAUAGUGACGGUACCUCAGGAAUAAGCCACGGCUAACUACGUGCCAGCAGCCGCGGUAAUACGUAGGUGGCAAGCGUUAUCCGGAUUUACUGGGUGUAAAGGGCGUGUAGGCGGGAUGGUAAUUCAGAUGUUAAAACUAUGGGCUCAACCCAUAGCCUGCAUUCGCAACUAUCGUUCUU
rnacentral:rRNA from 1 species